ACUCCUACGGGAGGCAGCAGUGGGGAAUAUUGCACAAUGGGCGCAAGCCUGAUGCAGCAACGCCGCGUGAGGGACGACGGCCUUCGGGUUGUAAACCUCUUUUAGUAGGGAAGAAGCGAAAGUGACGGUACCUGCAGAAAAAGCACCGGCUAACUACGUGCCAGCAGCCGCGGUAAUACGUAGGGUGCAAGCGUUAUCCGGAAUUAUUGGGCGUAAAGAGCUCGUAGGCGGUUUGUCGCGUCUGCUGUGAAAACUGGAGGCUCAACCUCCAGCCUGCAGUGGGUACGGGCAAACUAGAGUGCGGUAGGGGAGAUUGGAAUUCCUGGUGUAGCGGUGGAAUGCGCAGAUAUCAGGAGGAACACCGAUGGCGAAGGCAGAUCUCUGGGCCGUAACUGACGCUGAGGAGCGAAAGCAUGGGGAGCGAACAGGAUUAGAUACCCUGGUAGUCCAUGCCGUAAACGUUGGGAACUAGAUGUGGGGGCCAUUCCACGGCUUCCGUGUCGCAGCUAACGCAUUAAGUUCCCCGCCUGGGGAGUACGGCCGCAAGGCUAAAACUCAAAGGAAUUGACGGGGGCCCGCACAAGCGGCGGAGCAUGCGGAUUAAUUCGAUGCAACGCGAAGAACCUUACCAAGGCUUGACAUAUACCUGAAAAGGCUGGAAACAGUCUCCCCGCAAGGCAGGUAUACAGGUGGUGCAUGGUUGUCGUCAGCUCGUGUCGUGAGAUGUUGGGUUAAGUCCCGCAACGAGCGCAACCCUCGUUCUAUGUUGCCAGCACGUAAUGGUGGGAACUCAUAGGAGACUGCCGGGGUCANCUCGGA
rnacentral:rRNA from 1 species